AAACGUACGCUGGCGGCACGCCUAACACAUGCAAGUCGAACGAAGUAGCAAUACUUAGUGGCAGACGGGUGAGUAACAUGUAGGUAUCUGCCCUUUGGCCUGGAAUAACACGAGGAAACUUGUGCUAAUACCGGAUAAGUCUUUACGGAGAAAGCUUUAUGCACCAUUGGAUGAGCCUGCACUUGAUUAGUUUGUUGGUGGGGUAAUGGCCUACCAAGACUGUGAUCAAUAGCUGAUUUGAGAGGAUGAUCAGCCACAUUGGGACUGAGUCACGGCCCAAACUCCUACGGGAGGCAGCAGUGGGGAAUCUUGCACAAUGGAGGAAACUCUGAUGCAGCGAUGCCGCGUGAGUGAAGAAGGCCCUUGGGUUGUAAAGCUCUUUCGUCGGGGAAGAAAAUGACUGUACCCGAAUAAGAAGGUCCGGCUAACUUCGUGCCAGCAGCCGCGGUAAUACGAAGGGACCUAGCGUAGUUCGGAAUUACUGGGCUUAAAGAGUUCGUAGGUGGUUGAAAAAGUUAGUGGUGAAAUCCCAGAGCUUAACUCUGGAACUGCCAUUAAAACUUUUCAGCUAGAGUAUGAUAGAGGAAAGCAGAAUUUCUAGUGUAGAGGUGAAAUUCGUAGAUAUUAGAAAGAAUACCAAUUGCGAAGGCAGCUUUCUGGAUCAUUACUGACACUGAGGAACGAAAGCAUGGGUAGCGAAGAGGAUUAGAUACCCUCGUAGUCCAUGCCGUAAACGAUGUGUGUUAGACGUUGGAAAUUUAUUUUCAGUGUCGCAGGGAAACCGAUAAACACACCGCCUGGGGAGUACGACCGCAAGGUUAAAACUCAAAUGAAUUGACGGGGACCCGCACAAGUAGUGGAGCAUGUGGUUUAAUUCGAAGAUACGCGCAGAACCUUACCAACACUUGACAUGUUCGUCGCGACUCUAAGAGAUUAGAGUUUUCGGUUCGGCCGGACGAAACACAGGUGCUGCAUGGCUGUCGUCAGCUCGUGUCGUGAGAUGUUGGGUUAAGUCCCGCAACGAGCGCAACCCUCACUUUUAGUUGCCAUCAUUAAGUUGGGCACUCUGAAAGAACUGCCAGUGAUAAGCUGGAGGAAGGUGGGGAUGACGUCAAGUCCUCAUGGCCCUUACGUGUUGGGCUACACACGUGCUACAAUGGUAUCUACAACAGGAAGCAAGACUGCGAAGUUAAGCAAAUCCCUAAAAGAUACCUCAGUUCGGAUUGCACUCUGCAACUCGAGUGCAUGAAGCUGGAAUUACUAGUAAUCGUGGAUCAGCGUGCCACGGUGAAUGCGUUCCCGGGUCU
rnacentral:rRNA from 1 species